UUAAGUGACUAAGCGUACACGGUGGAUGCCUUGGCAGUCAGAGGCGAUGAAAGACGUAGUAACUUGCGAUAAGCCCAGAUUAGGUAGUAACAACCAUUUGAGUCUGGGAUUUCUGAAUGGGGAAACCCACGUGCAUAAGCACGUAUCCUUACCUGAAUACAUAGGGUAAGGAGGCGAACCGGGGGAACUGAAACAUCUAAGUACCCCGAGGAAAAGAAAUCAACCGAGAUUCCGAAAGUAGCGGCGAGCGAAAUUGGACUAGCCCUUAAGCUUUACACGCGUUAGACGAACGGUCUGGAAAGUCCGACGAUACAGGGUGAUAGUCCCGUAGUUGACGACGUGUGUUCAGUGAAAUCGAGUAGGGCGGGACACGUGAUAUCCUGUUCUGAAUAUGGGGGGACCAUCCUCCAAGGCUAAAUACUACUGACUGACCGAUAGUGAACCAGUACCGUGAGGGAAAGGCGAAAAGAACCCCUGUGAGGGGAGUGAAAUAGAACCUGAAACCGUGUACGUACAAGCAGUAGGAGCAGGCUUUGUCCUGUGACUGCGUACCUUUUGUAUAAUGGGUCAGCGACUUAUAUUCAGUGGCAAGGUUAACCAUCUAGGGGAGCCGUAGGGAAACCGAGUCUUAACUGGGCGUUCAGUCUCUGGAUAUAGACCCGAAACCAGGUGAUCUAGCCAUGGGCAGGUUGAAGGUUGAGUAACAUCAACUGGAGGACCGAACCGACUAAUGUUGAAAAAUUAGGCGGAUGACUUGUGGCUAGGGGUGAAAGGCCAAUCAAAACCUGGAGAUAGGCUGGUUCUCCCCGAAAGCUAUUUAGGUAGCGCCUCGGACCGAAAUACUACUGGGGGUAGAGCACUGUUAAGGCUAGGGGGUCAUCCCGACUUACCAAACGCCUUUGCAAACUCCGAAUACGCAGUAAGUAGCUAUCCGGGAGACACACGGCGGGUGCUAACGUCCCGUCGUGGAGAGGGAAAACAACGCCAGACCGCCAGCUAAGGUCCCAAAUUACUACUAAGUGGGAAACGAUGUGGGAAGGCUCAGACAGCCAGGAUGUUGGCUUAGAAGCAGGCCAUCAUUUAAAGAAAGCGUAAUAGCUCACUGGUCGAGUCGGCCUGCGCGGAAGAUGUAACGGGGCCUAAGUAGUAAAACCGAAGCUGCGGCAAUGUGGCUUUUGCACAUUGGGUAGGGGAGCGUUCUGUAAGCGGUUGAAGGUGUGUGGUAAUACGCAUGCUGGACGUAUCAGAAGUGCGAAUGCUGACAUGAGUAACGAUAAAGGGGGUGAAAAACCUCCUCCAGCCGGAAGACCAAGGGUUCCUGUCCAACGUUAAUCGGGGCAGGGUAAGUCGACCGCCCUAAGGCCGAGGCCGAAAGGCGUAGUCGAUGGGAAACGGGUUAAUAUUCCCGUAGCUUCUUACAAUUGCGAUGGGGGAGACGGAGAAGGCUAGGUGGGCCUGGCGACGGUUGUCCAGGUUCAAGUGCGUAGGCUUGAGAGUUAGGUAAAUCCGGCUCUUUUUAAGGCUGAGACACGACGUCGAGCACCUACGGUGUGAAGUCAUUGAUGCAUGCCUUCCAGGAAAAGCCUCUAAGCUUCAGAUUGUAAGGAAUCGUACCCCAAACCGAACACAGGUGGUCGGGUAGAGAAUACCCAAGGCGCUUGAGAGAACUCGGGUGAAAGGAACUAGGCAAAAUGGUACCGUAACUUCCGGGAGAAGGUACGCUCUCGACGGUGAAGUCCCUCGCGGAUGGAGCUAUUGAGAGUCGCAGAUACCAGGUGGCUGCAACUGUUUAUUAAAAACACAGCACUGUGCAAAAUCGUAAGAUGACGUAUACGGUGUGACGCCUGCC
rnacentral:rRNA from 1 species